rnacentral:rRNA from 1 species
AAAAAGCGGAGGAAAAGAAACUAACAAGGAUUCCCCUAGUAGCGGCGAGCGAAGCGGGAAGAGCUCAAAUUUAUAAUCUGGCACCUUCGGUGUCCGAGUUGUAAUCUCUAGAAAUGUUUUCCGCGUUGGACCGCACACAAGUCUGUUGGAAUACAGCGGCAUAGUGGUGAGACCCCCGUAUAUGGUGCGGACGCCCAGCGCUUUGUGAUACAUUUUCGAAGAGUCGAGUUGUUUGGGAAUGCAGCUCAAAUUGGGUGGUAAAUUCCAUCUAAAGCUAAAUAUUGGCGAGAGACCGAUAGCGAACAAGUACCGUGAGGGAAAGAUGAAAAGCACUUUGGAAAGAGAGUUAACAGUACGUGAAAUUGUUGGAAGGGAAACGCUUGAAGUCAGACUUGCUUGCCGAGCAAUCGGUUUGCAGGCCAGCAUCAGUUUUCCGGGAUGGAUAAUGGUAAAGAGAAGGUAGCAGUUUCGGCUGUGUUAUAGCUCUCUACUGGAUACAUCCUGGGGGACUGAGGAACGCAGUGUGCCUUUGGCGGGGGUUUCGACCUCUUCACACUUAGGAUGCUGGUGGAAUGGCUUUAAACGACCCGUCUUGAC